GAGGAAGCCGGAGUCCCCGGUGAAAACCCACGCAUGCACGGGGAGAACAUGCAAACUCCACACAGAAAGGCCCCCAUUGGUGAUUCUGUUUAAAGUUACAAGUUUCUUUUAACUACAGAUAGACAGAAUGAAAUAAAAUUGACUCCAUAGCCUUUUUGUUGAAUGUGCUUUGUGUUAUCUUAAGUUGGUACGGAGUCCUUUUGGCUCCAAAAUGAUUCCAUCUCAGGAACUCAUUAUAUUACUUAGUCAACUUACAAUAUUACUUUACCUUUAUAGGGAACUGUUGGAAAGAAAUAAAAUCACGCUUGAUUUGUUAUGAAAUGAAUCAGUGCUUGAAUAUGUAUUUAUUAUUUUCUAAAGUUUUUGCUUUAUUUAUUUUUUUAACCAUUGCUUAUCAAAAAAAUUGAGCAAGAAUUAGAUGUCAAAACUCACACAUUUACUUUUUUUUUUUUGUCAAACUGACUCUCUUUCAAAAUGACCUUACAUUCUUCGUAAACCUGAAAAAAAACCCAACUCUGCCUCUGUGAUGUAUGCUGUGUUUCUUCUCUCCUUUAGUUUCCACUGCAUAAUGAAUUAUGUGAUUGGUGGUGAGGGUCUUGUGUUCACAGCAUGCAUGUGUUUCCCUUCUAAGUAAUCAGCAGGAGGUUAAUUGCACUAACAAUUAUCAGGUGUUUUGUAAUGAACAUACUCAGCCUCAGCAGGUGUGGAGUUCUUCAACCCCGAGCUCAGGGUUUAUCAAAUUGUAGCUGCAGUCAGUGCAUUAGCAGUCAAUCUCCUGAUCACCUUGACUACCUGGUUUGGCUAACCCUACAGGGAUCUGAUGCACCGUGCCCAACCCCGCCUACUUCCUGGUUGUCAGCUCUCUGCUGGUUUGGGUAAGGUCAGCCAUGCUGUCUCCCUUGGAGUGACUGGUGACUCGGUUUUUGACUUAGUUUUUAUAUUCAGUCACCAAACAGAGCACUCCAGUACCUGGAGUAGCUAACCUGGAUUGCGAACAUACUGUGUGAAUCCUUUUCCUCCAGCCAUUCAGGUGCAGAAAGGGCACCACUGCUGUUUUAGAAAGGCUGCUUGGAUGGCUAGUUUUGUUUUUCUAUUUUUUGGGGGGGGGCUUCUGUUUCCUGCGCUGUGCAGUGGAACAAAAGCUCUGCCAGCCACACUACAGGCCCCUGGCGACCAGCAAGACUGUAUGGAAAGUUGCCUUCCUUUUUUAUUUUAUUCUUUUAAUUGGAUUCUCUUUUAGGUGCGAGUGUGUAGGUUUGUGUGGUUUGGGGCUCAGCAUGUUUUUUUUUUUUUUUUUUUUUUUACCCACUGACAACCCCCACUUACUACUUUUGUUGUUCUUUUCAGGGCGAAGUGCUUUGGCAGAGCGUGUGGGGCGAUUGACGUGGAGGCUCGUUUGUGUUUCCUGGUGUGAGGCAAAUUCCUUCCAUGUGUGUGUGCAUGUGACUGUGUGUGGUGUAAUCCAGUUUUGUUUUUUCCUCCCAUUGUAUACCCAGCGUUCUGCCAGUAAGCCUUCCCCCAGUUGGGCUUGUUGUUUUUCUUUUUACUUUGUAAUAAAACUAUUUAUUGAAACUGGAACCACGUCUUGGUAUGUUGGGAAGAAUCCACGUGUCCUUGUCAGAACUGCCUUUGGGUUCCCUGGACCCUACAUUCCGGGGUGGCAUUGUUUGCUUUGGUUUAGCACAUAUCCCAGACUUUGCCACAAAAUGGUAAGUUUGAACUUCUAAUUGGAACAGAGCCAGAGCCAGACCUGAUUCAACCACUUUACACAAGGGGAAGUUUUAUAGACACGGGCAAAACCAUAGAGGGAGGGGGAAACAAACUGAUCCAAACAUUCUCAGUCAUUAAUCAAUGGCUACAAAACAAGAAAAGAGCUAACAACAUUUAAAUAAUAUAAAACUAGACUUAAAAAAAAA